UACGUAGGGUGCAAGCGUUAAUCGGAAUGACUGGGCGUAAAGGGUGUGUAGGCGGUUUUUUAAGUCUGAUGUGAAAUCCCCGGGCUCAACCUGGGAACUGCGUUGGAUACUGGAGAACUAGAGUACGUAAGAGGGGGGUGGAAUUCCACGUGUAGCAGUGAAAUGCGUAGAUAUUGGGAGGAACACCAGUGGCGAAGGCGGCUCACUGGACCGGUACUGACGCUGAUGCGCGAAAGCGUGGGGAGCAAACGGG
rnacentral:rRNA from 1 species